rnacentral:rRNA from 1 species
AUUGAACGCUGGCGGCAGGCCUAACACAUGCAAGUCGAGCGGGGUUUUCGGACCUAGCGGCGGACGGGUGAGUAAUGCGUAGGAAGCUGCCCGAUAGAGGGGGAUACCAGUUGGAAACGACUGUUAAUACCGCAUAAUGUCUACGGACCAAAGUGUGGGACCUUCGGGCCACAUGCUAUCGGAUGCGCCUACGUGGGAUUAGCUAGUUGGUGAGGUAAUGGCUCACCAAGGCGACGAUCUCUAGCUGGUUUGAGAGGAUGAUCAGCCACACUGGAACUGAGACACGGUCCAGACUCCUACGGGAGGCAGCAGUGGGGAAUAUUGGACAAUGGGCGCAAGCCUGGUCCAGCCAUGCCGCGUGUGUGAAGAAGGCCUUCGGGUUGUAAAGCACUUUCAGCGAGGAGGAAGGGUGGUGUGUUAAUAGCACAUCAUUUUGACGUUACUCGCAGAAGAAGCACCGGCUAACUCUGUGCCAGCCGCCGCAGUAAGAC